rnacentral:rRNA from 1 species
GACGAACGCUGGCGGCGUGCUUAACACAUGCAAGUCGAACGGAAAGGCCCUGCUUGCAGGGUACUCGAGUGGCGAACGGGUGAGUAACACGUGGGUGAUCUGCCCUGCACUUCGGGAUAAGCUUGGGAAACUGGGUCUAAUACCGGAUAGGAGCCAUCUUUAGUGUGGUGGCUGGAAAGUUUUUACGGUGUAGGAUGAGCUCGCGGCCUAUCAGCUUGUUGGUGGGGUAAUGGCCUACCAAGGCGGCGACGGGUAGCCGGCCUGAGAGGGUGUACGGCCACAUUGGGACUGAGAUACGGCCCAGACUCCUACGGGAGGCAGCAGUGGGGAAUAUUGCACAAUGGGCGCAAGCCUGAUGCAGCGACGCCGCGUGGGGGAUGAAGGCCUUCGGGUUGUAAACUCCUUUCGCUAGGGACGAAGCUUUUUUGUGACGGUACCUAGAUAAGAAGCACCGGCUAACUACGUG